rnacentral:rRNA from 1 species
UGGGAGUCAGAACAUGGGUGAUAAGGUCCGUGUUCGAAAGGGAAACAGCCCAGACCACCAGCUAAGGUCCCAAAAUAUAUGUUAAGUGGAAAAGGAUGUGGCGUUACCCAGACAACUAGGAUGUUGGCUUAGAAGCAGCCAUCAUUUAAAGAGUGCGUAAUAGCUCACUAGUCGAGUGACACUGCGCCGAAAAUGUACCGGGGCUAAACAUAUUACCGAAGCUGUGGAUUGUC